rnacentral:tRNA from 1 species
UGGUAGAGCAAUGGAUUGAAGCUCCAUGUGUCGGCGGUUCGAUUCCGUCUCGCGCCA